AUUUAGAAGAAGUGAAGAACGUAAAAGAGGUUUCUUCUUCUCUUGCUCUACCCUUCACGACCUCUAGUUCUCUCAUCCACCGGUGACGCUCAUAUCGCAGCCGACAUCGCUCUCUCCACCGGCGACGACUCUCCUCCGCGGCUAGCCUUCUUCCUCCACUGUUUCUUGACGACGUGAUCUUCGUGCUCAUUCAUAUUCCUCUAUUUAUCGCUGCUUGCCACUGGCGGAGACAGAAAACCCUAACAACCUUAUCCUAAAAAGUUAAAGAAUUGAUGUUGUGGACUCUGUGACGUUCGGCCCAUUGAAGAUCCAAGCCUCGAGUGAAUGUCUAUAUAAAGGAGUUUAUAAACCCUAGCCACGUAGGGAUUCUGAGCGUGAAAUAUUGAGUUUAGGAUUUAUUAUUUUGUGAGUCAUGUUGUGAGUAUUGUAACAACUUAGUGCUUCCUAUGCUAUUGUAAGUACUAAGUUGAUGUGUUUAGUUGAGUGCUAGUCUCAUCAAACUUGUUAUUGUUUUUGACAAGUGUGAUCACUGAGGCAAUGAUUGAGAGAAAGAGAUAAGGGGUUCUCAUACUUAGGGGGAGACUUAAGUAUUAAGCCACUGGUAGCAAUAGGUAGAAAGGUUUAGAACUAUGUCUGUUCUUGGUGAACCUUUUGUAUGUGCUUGACUGUUAUAGUGGAUUAUCUUUCUCGGGCUGAAGCCCUUCAGAUGUAGGUGAUGUUGCACCGAACUGGGUUAACAAUUCUCUGUGUUCUUUAUUAUUUUUGUUGAUUUAAUAUUGUGCUGCACAUCAGUUGUUACUGUUAGUCAGUUGUCGAACCGGUUGUCCCAGCAUCGCGUUCGACAUAUGUCUUGUGCGAGAACCAGAAUUUCAAUAUGCAAUCUUA